GGAUAAUUAAGCUACAGUGACCCUCUACUAAUGUUGCCACGUCACCACGAUUACUAUUGAUAAUCUCGCGAUGAUUCAAAACCCGUUCAAAUUUCAAAUUUAAAUAACAAGUCAAAUUAUAAAUUCAUCAAACUGAGAUUUAAAAAUGUUCAAAAGGUAGUAGAUAUUCACUAAAUAAUUAUAGAGCAUCAAUCAUCAUAUUGUAAAAAAAUAUCUGCCUCUAGUUUAAUUAAAACGGGAACCAACUGUAAUUAAAUUAACCAUUUAGGGUUGAACAAAUAUUUAUACAAUUCAAAAAUAUUUGAACCUUUUUUUUUCAACCUAAUAAUAUUGCUUAGCAUUUAAAUCUGAAGUUUCAUACUAGACAAAACUCGUUUGGUAGCAAAAUAGUAUAAACAGUAGCUAAGUGUAUAACAACAAAAAAAGAAGAUUAAAAUUGAAGUUUGCCCUAUGUAAUUUGGCCCACUAUGAUCAAAAGCUAGCCAGCCUACUAUGCCUUAUGGGCACUACACGCACAGGACCUGGCCCAGCCCAAGUCGUUGGUCGUCCCCAACCUCUCGAGUCGUGGACGCUGCUCGUCCGUCCAGCGCACGGAUGCCGCGCUAUCGGCCAUCCCGCGGUCGCAGAGAUGGAUAAGGACUCCCUUGACGCCUUUCUCUCCGCCAGGAACCCUAGCCAUCCCUUGAUCCCCUCACUCUCGUUUUCCUCCUCGUUUUCUUCCUCACCGAGCAGAGUCGUCACCUCGUCUUCGUCGAUCCCGCGACCACCGGCCUCCCCUCGCCACGCCAAGAUGUGCAGGAGCUCCGUCAUCCUCGACUACGUUGCAUCUGUACCAGGGAACCACGAGGACCACGCUACACCGACGGGAUCGAGCGUCUUCCUCAUCUACGGCCGUCACUGCCCCGCGUCCGAUCUGCCUCACCGGAGCUUCUCCGCCUCGUCGGGCACGUCCUCUGCCUCCCCCUGUGAGUGGCACCCCCAUUCCCCUUGUUCCCCCCUUCGUUCAUCGCUCCGUUGCGCCGCCCCGUGCCAUCCAUGUUCCUUCCAGUGGCUGCGGUCAUCGCGACCGCGUCCACCACCCAGCCCGCGUCCAGCCCGCGCCCCUGGUGUGCCCUGCAACCGCCCGCGCGUGCGGCCUCUGUGCCCACGCCGCACCCCUCCUGUCCUCGCCGUCCUUGCAUGCCGCCCGCGCCGGCAUGCUGCUUGUACUGCUGUUGUUGCCGCUGCACGGCUACUGGUGCUUCCAGCCUGCUACUGCUCCCGCUAGCUGCUGCCAAGCACUUGCCGCUGCUACCCAUCGUUGCUUGUGCGGCUAUAGCUACUACUGCUGUUGGUUGAGGCCGCAGGCACCUAGGCCUCAUGUGCGUGUCGUGGCCAUGGCCUUGUGCCUUUGCUAUGGUCAUGUGGUGGCCGGCCUAUUAGUUUAUUUUGGUUAUAUUAAUUAGUGAUUAAGUAUAGCCAAAUGACACGUGGACCCUGCUGCUAAUUAAAGGUUCAAACAAAUAAAAAUAUACAAGCCUAUGACAUGUAGGACCCACUUGUACUGUUCACAUGUUGACCAGUCAAAUGUUGACUAGGUCAACCUAGCCACUCGACCCCACUUGUAAGCCACUGUAACUAAGCUGCUGUUGUGUGCACUUAGCAAUUUUCUUUAAAUAAAACAAAUUAAAACAAAUUCUAAAAAUGCAAUAAACUUCGAUAAUUCAUAUAAAAUAAAUCGUAACUCGGAUGAAAAUACUUUAUACAUGAAAGUUGAUCAGAACGACGAGACGAAUCCGAAUACGCAGUCCGUUCGUCCGCCACACAUCCCUAGCAUAGCGACCGUGCAACAAUCCCUCUUCGGUUCAUUUGUCCGAAAACGUCAAACACCGGGAAUACUUUCCCGGAUAUUUUCCCCCUUCGCCAGUAGCACCUACUACUACGUUAGGUCACCUCUAGCAUCGCGUAAAACCAUGUUAUUGUGACGCCCCCGAUUCAAUCGUACACUAAUCAUGCACGCAAAUGUGUACGAUCAAGAUCAGGGACUCACGGGAAGAUAUCACAACACAACUCUACAAAUAAAAUAAGUCAUACAAGCAUCAUAAUACAAGCCAGGGGCCUCGAGGGCUCGAAUACAAGUGCUCGAUCAUAGACGAGUCAGCGGAAGCAACAAUAUCUGAGUACAGAUAUAAGUUAAACAAGUUGCCAUAAGAUGGCUAGCACAAACUGGGAUACAGAUCGAAAGAGGCGCAUGCCUCCUGCCUGGGAUCCUCCUAACUACUCCUGGUCGUCGUCGUCAGCCUGCACGUAGUAGUAGGCACCUCCAAUGUAGUAGUCGUCGUCGACGCUGGCUCCUGGCUCCUGGACUCCAGCAUCUGGUUGCGACAACCAGAAAGAAAGGAAAGGGGAAAAGGGGGGGAGAAAGCAACCGUGAGUACUCAUCCAAAGUACUCGCAAGCAAGGAACUACACUACAUAUGCAUGGGUAUAUGUGUAAGGAGGCAAUAUCAGUGGACUGAACUGCAGAAUGCCAGAAUAAGAGGGGGAUAGCUAAUCCUGUCGAAGACUACGCUUCUGGCAGCCUCCGUCUUGCAGCAUGUAGAAGAGAGUAGAUUGAAGUCCUCCAAGUAGCAUCUCCAAGUAGCAUAUCCAGGUAGCAUCUCGAAGCGCAUCUCCAGUCGCAUCGCAUAGCAUAAUCCUACCCGGCGAUCCUCUCCUCGUCGCCCUGUAGAAAAGCGAUCACCGGGUUGUCUGUGGAACUUGGAAGGGUGUGUUUUAUUAAGUAUCCGGUUCUAGUUGUCAUAAGGUCAAGGUACAACUCCAAGUCGUCCUGUUACCGAAGAUCACGGCUAUUCGAAUAGAUUAACUUCCCUGCAGGGGUGCACCAACUUACCCAGCACGCUUGAUCCCAUUUGGCCGGACACACUUCCCUGGGUCAUGCCCGGCCGCGGAAGAUCAACACGUCGCAGCCCCACCUAGGCAAAACAGAGAGGCCAGCACGCCGGUCUAAACCUAAGCGCACAGGGGUCUGGGCCCAUCGCCCAUAGCACACCUGCAUGUUGCGAGGGCGGCCGGAAGCAGAACUAGCCCCCUUAAUACAAGAGCAGGCUUACGUUCCAAUCCGGCGCGCGCCGCUCCGUCGCUGACGUCUGAAGUGCUUCGGCUGAUACCACGACGCCGGGAUACCCAUAACUACUCCCGCGUAGAUGGUUAGUGCGUAUAAGCUCGUAGCCAACUCAGAUCAAAUACCAAGAUCUCGUUAAGCGUGUUAAGUAUCCGCGAACGCCGAACAGGGCCAGGCCCACCUCUCUCCUAGGUGGUCUCAACCUGCCCUGUCGCUCCGCCACAAAGUAACCGUCGGGGACCGUCGGGAACCUAGGCCCACCUCUACCGGGAUGGAGCCACCUGUCCUUUCAGCCCCCAACUCCGAACAGUAUCAUAGGUAAUGUAACAGUGUAAAGUAUAUAGUAUAUGCCCGUGAUCACCUCCCGAAGUGAUCACAGCCCAGUAGUAUAGCAUGGCAGACGGACAAGAGUGUAGGGUCACUGAUGGAACACUAGCAUCCUAUACUAAGCAUUUAGGAUUGCGGGUAAGGUAUCAAUGACUGUAGCAGCAAUGACAGGCUAUGCAUCAGAAUAGGAUUAACGGAAAGCAGUAACAUGCUACACUACUCUAAUGCAAGCAGUAUAGAGAAGAGUAGGCGAUAUCUGGUGAUCAAAGGGGGGGCUUGCCUGGUUCCUCUGGCAAGAGAGAGGGGUCGUCAACUCCGUAGUCGAACUGGUCAGCAACAGCGUCGGUCUCGUAGUCUACCGGAGAGAAGAGGGGGAAGAAAUAAUGAAUACAGAGCAAACAAAGCACCACAAAAUAUAUCAAGGCAAUACGCGGUGUUCGGUGUGCCCUAACGCGGUAGUAGGUGAUACCGGUGAAGGGGGGAAAACCCCCGGGAAAGUAUUCCUGGUGUUUCGUGUUUUCGGGCAGAGGAGCCGGAGGGGGAAAGUUGCGGGUUCGAUAGGUUAGGGGUGUGUGGUGGACGAACGGGCUACGUAUCCGGGUUCGUCUCGUCGUUCUGAGCAACUUUCAUGUACAAAGUUUUUUCAUCUGAGCUACGGUUUAUUUUAUAUUAAUUUUAAAAGAUUAAAAUCAUUUUUAGCAUUUAUUUAAAUAUUUUAAUCCAACAUUAUCCAGAACAGUGCACGCUGACAUCAGCAUGACGUCAGCAUGACGUCAGCAGUCAACAGAGGCGUUGACUGGUCAACUGACGUGUGGGUCCCGUUUGUCAUUGACUGUUUAGUCUAAUUAAUGUUUAACUAAUCUAAUUACUGUUUAAUUAAACUAAUUAGUUAAUUAGGUUAAUCUAAUUAUGAUUAAUUAACUUAAUUAAUUCCUUAAUUAAUUAAUUAAUUUAAUUAUUAUUUAUUUAUUUAAUAUAUAUUUUUUAAUUCUUUUUUUUAUAAAACCGUUCUGGGGCGGGCCCAUAUGUCAUAGGCCCUGGGGCAUAACGGGCGACGGGUGCGGGGUGGCCCGAACGGGCGCUACGGGCACCCGACCGCAGGCAGAGGCCAUGGCCCGGCGCGGCUGGGCGUCGGCGGCCAAGGCGCCGGCCAAGGGAGGCAGCGGAGGUGGCCGCGGGGCGCAGCGAUGAGGGGUAGCGCAGGGAGGAGGCCGCGGGUGGUGGCCGAAGUGGGGACCGGACCGGCGAGCGGGAGGCACGGGUAGCAGGGGGCUUCGGUGGUGGCCGUGGCCAGUGACGGCAAGCGCGGGUGCCGGCGCGCUCCAGGGAAGCGCGGGCGUGGACAGAGCUCAGGGGGAGGGGGUUCGCAGCGGGCGUCGCCCGAAGCAAGCGGGCGCGCGAGGGAGAAGUCGGGGACGGGCGCGUGCGGUGUGCACGCGCUGGAGCCAAGAGGGGCGGUGACCACGACGGGACAGCGCGGGCGCGUGGCCACGCACGGGCGAGGGGCGACGGCGAGUGAGCGUGAGCUCGUGUGGAGAACGGCAACCGCGACGACGAGGAGAGAGGGAGAUGGGGAUGGCGCUCACAAGGGGUUGCAGGGGACUGGGCAGCGGGGCGCGAGGAGGAAGACGGGGACGCCGGCGACGUAGGGGAGGCAGUCCGGCGAGGUGGUCUCCGGCGACGGCGUCGAGCGCGUGGGGGUCGUUCGGGGAGGAUUGGUGGAGCGAGGCGGCGACGAUGGUGUUCCGGCGACGGAGUGGUGGGGCGGGACAGCCCGGCGACGAUGGGGCGGCGUCGGGCCCCGGCGUCGGGCUCGGGGGCAAGGGGAUCAGGGCAAGGUGNNNNNNNNNNNNNNNNNNNNNNNNNNNNNNNNNNNNNNNNNNNNNNNNNNNNNNNNNNNNNNNNNNNNNNNNNNNNNNNNNNNNNNNNNNNNNNNNNNNNNNNNNNNNNNNNNNNNNNNNNNNNNNNNNNNNNNNNNNNNNNNNNNNNNNNNNNNNNNNNNNNNNNNNNNNNNNNNNNNNNNNNNNNNNNNNNNNNNNNNNNNNNNNNNNNNNNNNNNNNNNNNNNNNNNNNNNNNNNNNNNNNNNNNNNNNNNNNNNNNNNNNNNNNNNNNNNNNNNNNNNNNNNNNNNUGGGGAUCGUGGGGAAGGGGGUAGGGUUUCGGUGCCCCCCGGGAGGGGUUAAUGGCCUGGGUCUGGGCCGGCUGUGUGGCUAGUUGGGCCUCCUGGCCCAGGGGAGAGGGGGGGUUCUCUUCUUCCUUUUUUUUGUUCUUUUGUUUUCUGGUUUUAAUCUUUUCUUUUAUUUACUUUAUUUGUUUCUGUUUUCCUUUUCUUAUUUAAUAGUUUAUAGUUUUUAGAAAAAGUGAAACUCACCCCUCAAUUAGAUUUGUAAAGUCAACUGUUCUCACAAAAAGUUUGGGACAAAAGUAAAGUACCUUGUAUUCUCUAUUAACUAAAAAGACAUUUAAGUUAUUGUUUCGGUCAUUGUUUUAUUUAUUUUAGUGCCUCUAAUUAUUUUAUAAUGAUGUGGAUCCUCCACCGUAAUUACUUAUGAAUUAUCCGACACAACCCGAUCAAUUUAGUUUUAAUAUUUGAAAACCUUUGUUGUUUGCCUAUUUUUGAAUUUGAAUUUCGAAUCAGUUUUGAACUAACGCGAGAUUAACAACAGUAACUGUGGUGACGUGGCAUCGUUAACGUGGGAUUACUGUAGCCUAAUUAUCCGGGCGUCACAGUUAUACUCUAUGAUGCAUUGAUUGCUCUGUUAUUUAUUGUGUUCCCCCUCCGUUACUUCUUUCCGGUAAACCCCGAGACUGCCGGCGACCCCCAGUUCGACUACGGUGUUAACGACCCCUCCUUCUUGCCAGAACAACUAGGCAAGCCCCCCCUUGAUCACCAGAUAUCGCCUACUCUCCUAUAUAUUGCUUGCAUUAGAGUAGUGUAGCAUGUUACUGCUUUUCGUUAGUCCUAUCUUGAUGCAUAGCCUGUCCUUGCUACUACUAUUGUUACCUUUACCUGCAAUCCUAAUGCUUAGUAUAGGAUGCUAGUUUAUCACCAGUGGCCCUACAUUCUUGUCCGUCUGCCAUGCUAUACUAUCGGGCCGUGAUCACUCGGGAGGUGAUCAUGGGUAUAUGCUAUAUACUUUAUACAUGAUACAUGUGAUGACUAAAAGACGGGUCGGUUCGUAGGAGUACCCGCGAGUGGAUCUUUGUGGCGAAGCGACAGGGCAGGUUGAGACCACCUAGGAGAGAGGUGGGCCUGGCCCUGGUCGGUAUUCGCGGUUAUUUCAAGAUAACACGUUUAACGAGAUCUUGGUAUUUGAUCUGAGUCUGGCCACUGGCCUAUACGCACUAACCAUCUACGCGGGGACAGUUAUGGGCACUCGACGUCGUGGUAUCAGUCAAAGCCUUCGUGACGUCAGCGACUGAGCAGCGCGCGCCAGAUUGGAACGUAAGCAUGCUCUUGUAUUAAGGGGGCUAGUUCUGCUUCCGGCCGCCCUCGCAACGUGCAGGUGUGCAAUGGGUGAUGGGCCCAGACCCCUGCGUCAUAGGAUUUAGACCGGUGUGCUGACCUCUCUGUUAUGCCUAGGUAGGGCUGCGACGUGUUAAUCUUCCAAGGCCGGGCAUGACCCAGGAAAGUGUGCCCGGCCAAAUGGGAUCGAGCGUGUUGGGUUAUGUGGUGCACCCCUGCAGGGAAGUUAAUCUAUUCGAAUAGCCGUGAUCUUCGGUAACAGGACGACUUGGAGUUGUACCUUGACCUUAUGACAACUAGAACAUGAUACUUAAUAAAAUACACCCUUCCAAGUGCCAGAUACAAUCGGUGAUCGUUCUCUCAUAGGGCAACGAGGGGAGGAUCAUCGGUUAAGGUUAUGCUAUGCGAUGCUACUUGGUGAACUUACCAUCUACUCUCUUCUACAUGCUGCAAGAUGGAGGUGGCCAGAAGCGUAGUCUUCGAUAGGACUAGCUAUCCCCCUCUUAUUCCGGCAUUCUGCAGUUCAGUCCACAUAUGAUACCCUUAUUCCAUUUGAUACCAAUGCAUACAUAUGUAGUGUAGCUCCUUGCUUGCGAGUAAUUUGGAUGAGUACUCACAGUUGCUUUGCUCCUCCUUUUCCCCCUUCCUAUACCCGAUUGCUGCGACCAGACGUUGGAGCCCAGGAGCCAGACGCCACUGUCGAUGACGACUACUACUACUCGGGAGGUGCCUACUACUACGUGUAGCCCGCUGUCGAUGACCAGGAGUAGUUUAGGAGGAUCCCAGGCAGGAGGCCUGCGCCUCUUUCGAUCUGUAUCCCAGUUUGUGCUAGCCUUCUUAAGGCAAACUUGUUUAACUUAUGUCUAUACUCAGAUAUUGUUGCUUCCGCUGACUCGCCUAUGAUCGAGCUCUUGCAUUCGAGCCCUCGAGGCCCCUAGCUUGUAAUAUGAUGCUUGUAUGACUUAUUUUAUUUGUAGAGUUGUGUUGUGAUAUCUUCUCGUUUGUCCCUGAUCUUGAUCGUACACGUUUGCGUGUAUGAUUAGUGUAUGAUUGAAUCGGGGGCGUCACAAGUUGGUAUCAGAGCCGACUUCCUGUAGGAAUCCCCCUUCCAAACUCCUUGGCCGAAGUUGAGUCUAGUCAUUGCAAAACUUUUACUAACAUGGUUGUGUGCCUUACGGGCCCACGUCGUCAUUGGGUGGUAUUACGAUCUUUUACUCCUCACCUAUAUUGUGGGACUCUAAUCUCUCUUCUAUUCGGGUUAAAUGAUUUUUCUAAAAUCUAACGUUAGGUUCUCGAGAAUACUUCUCCCGGAAAGCCCCUUUAGUCCAGAUGACCACCUGCUGCAUCAGAAGAUUUCAGAGAUACUCUUCGAUGGUCUCUCAAGACUUUGUGCCCACCGCUUUUGCUGCUCCCGACCACCGAUAAAUCCUUAUGGAUAACUACUUAUGCUUGUCGUUCAUACCUUAGUUCCCAGUUGAUCUUGAGAUUACAAGAUACCUCGAAAUUCUCUCUAUUGUUCCGAAAAUACUUUGUGUCCACUGCCCUUGCUGUUCUUUGCAACCUGAAUACCCCUAUGAAUAAUUUCUCGCACUUAUCAAGUAUCCGAUCAUCCCUAGUGGAUACAUGUAUUUCACAAAAGUCUUCGAAAUAUCAUUCGAUCUUCCAAAAAUACUCAACAACUUAUUGCUCUUGAAGUUCUUGCUUGCUUGCAAUAUGAUUAUCCCCAUAAGUCUGGUAAUCUUAUUGACCUCCUUUGUCAUUAUCAUUUUGAGUCUGUUAAUUCGAUAUGAUUGUGAGUGCUCGCAAUCAUCAGUCAAAACUAAAGUUCAUCCUUCCGGCUCAGACAUCAUAUUAAACAUGAGCUGAAUCUCGACCAAUCAAAUUGCCAUUGAUUGUACCCCUAAGCCUACUCAACUUAUCCAUCCUUGAUCAGAGUGUUUGCUUCUGAUCCCUUGAUUUGAAGAUCAUAAUUCCUUUACAUUUCGGCUUUGAAUUAGUCAGUUGUUUCUAUAGUCUGAUGUCCUUGCAUCCCUUCUUAUUCUGGUUGGGUACCGAUGCUCACAUCAGCUCGGUUAUGGACCGUCAGAUCCUUUGCUGGAUUUAUCAUCUGACAUUGUCCUUCGUUUACGAAAACCUCGGGAAAUUCCUUCCCUAAUACAUAAAGCCUUUGGUAAGUUGUUCUCUGUUUUCUCAACCAUGCUCUGUUUUCGAGCUGGUGGUAUUUACUAUUGAAGCUUGUGGUAUAUGUUUCUAAGAUACCCCGAUGGUUUGAACCUAUACCUUCUCUAAAACCGUGUGAACCCGAAAGUUUUCACGAGUCAUAUUCUCCUGGUGAUUUACCAAAUAAAAUUUCAACACUACAAUAUUUCCGAAAACGAGAAGUGAAUGAAAGGUUAUGCAUUGCAGAAGUGGGAGUCGACCUUGAACCUUUGUGUUCAUGCCCACGGACACGAUGUGGAACUUAUCAUGAAAGCUUCUUGCAAGAAUAUCAUUUGAAUAAUUCUUCUGGCAUCGUAAAUUGGACCCCUUGUAGUCAUGGUUCCAACCAUGUUAACCUUAUUCAAUGUAUCCGAAAGGAAACCAUUCCUUUGCCUCGUCUAUUCUGACAAGAUUAAAGUAUCUCCUAUUGCAAGUCAACGCUCCAGUUCAGAUUCUAUUCUGAUCUUCCUUCGAAUAUUACCCUCUGAUAUCUCGAGAAUGCCACGGAACUACAUAACUUCUCAUGAGUUCUUCAUCAACUAUUAUUCUUGCCUAUUCCAUUUUACCAACGGGUUCUGAGUUGUUAGAACCCUUCAAGGACACCGACAACUGAACCAAGUCUGCAAUGUGAUUUAACAACUCUUAGUAAUCUUCAUUGCUUAUGAGUAUGUACUCGGUCGUAUCAUUCCCAGCUGAUUGACUACAUCAUCAUCGUCGGGCUGACUACAUAACCAUCCUACCUAUGUCCUUCAUCCUCGGGACACAAUCCCGACAGUGCUCUAAGAUUACAUCAAACUUUCACCAUCAUAUUGUUUGUCUUGAGAGACAACUCUGAAUUCUGAGAUGGCAUCUUAUCUAUGGUUAUAAUAUCCUUUUGCUUCACCAUUCCCUUGGCUUGAUGUCGUCACCGAGCGAUUGCAUCUUCAUGGAUCUUCUAGACAAAAUUUGUCGUGAUCAUCAUCAACAUUUUGACUCCUUCCAAAAUAUCAAUCAAAUUCAUGAUGACAAGUACCAUCCUUGCCCCUCGAUGAUUUGUGUUAUCAUCGGCAACAUUAAUGCCCUCCCUCCAACACAAACUUGCUCAUGUUUUGUGCAUUACCUUUAGUUCCUUUCUAUCCAGCUUGUGUUAUGUUCUACCUUGGAGUAUUACCAUCUUUUAUAUCAAGGAUGCCAUGGGAAUUUCACCACCUCUUGAGAAUUCUUGAUAUAGGUGAUACUUAUCACCAUCAGCAUUUGACAUUUCAUUCUUAGACCAUUGGUUAUCGAAUCACCAUUCUAACAUUGAUUAUGCUACCUAAGACCGUAUUUCAGGUGCACCUUCAACCAAUGUUUAAUUGUGUAUGUUUUCCUCAAGCAUACCUCAUUAUAUCAUUUGAUCUGACAAAUGUUAUCUUCUUGUUCACAUAAUUGUGGAAAUCCAUCUUUUAGUAAAACUCGAGGAAUUGCUGCUGAGUCCAUCAGCCAUGCCCUCGUCAUUUCCUUGGUUUAAUAAUGAACUCUUGUUUCAGAACUCGCUUCCAUAGUUCAUUUCCCGAGGAUUCUACAAUGUCAUCUCGUCAAUUUGUGUCGCACCUUUUUCUUCUCAGGCAUCCUGAGUCUGAGGUAUCUUGACACCAAUCAGAUCUGAAUCUUGGUCAGAUAUGAUGGUUGGAAUAUAUCUUCAAGAGUUAUAACAUUGGUCUUUAUAUGACCCGUAAGGUGAUGUCAUGCCUAGCACACCUGGCCGGAGGCUCUAUUGUUAUAGUUUCCCUUUUAGCAAGCUUAGUGAAUCUUCCAUGAGGAAAUCGUAAGACUUAUUUUAUAAGUUGUUCCUGAUGGACCCUUUGUGUAUCCAAAGUCUGAUCUUUACCCAUUGACCAUGUCAAUGCUAUCUCGAAGCAUGUCGAUGGUACUCCAACUCUUCAAUAAGUACAUUUGAAGCACAAUGCCAAAUUUUCUUUGUCAUUUAUCCUAACACCGUUGUACGGGUAGUGUCAUGAAAUUUCUAUCCCCUUACCUAAAUGGUUUUCUACUUUCUAUCCUAUCAUGGAUAUCAUGCUUUGCUUAUCCUUGGGAAGGAUAUACCCCUGAAAUAUGUGUUUAAACACAUUUUCCUUUCCAUUGUUUGGAUUAAAUCUGAUAACCAUAUUUUCCUUCCCAUUGGUUUGUUUAAACCCUUAUUGUGAUUUGUAUGAUAUAAGCAGUAAUAUUCCCUGCUUAUGUAAACACCUCGGUGUACAACUCGGUCAGUAAGACCCUGUUACUAUUGUUGAUGACAUUCCGGUAACCACCGAUGGACGAGAACUUUGCCUAUUGGCCCGCCUCAUUUCAACGAGCAGGAAAAUGGUUCUCUUUGUCCCUCGCCCUUGGUACCAACGUUGUUGCCAACAUGACAGGCUAUCCUCUGACAUGACUUGCUAUCAUGACCGAUGUCAACGCCCUUCCCACUUUUAACCACAUGCUGGGCCCACAACCCACAGUUCCACAGGAUCGAAACCUGACUCCUCUACAUCCCUGUGUCCAAAGUUAUUCCUCGCACUUGGCUUGGCUUCGUAUGUAAUUCACGAGCCACCUUCCUAUAGAUCUACUAUAAAAUCAAACGCAAUGUUUAUUUCGUUGCUCUGAACACCCUUCAUACUCUACUUCAGGCAUCAAACGAUUGUUUGCCCGUUUGGAACUUUCGCACCCUCUUAUAAUGCUUUCGAUGUGUCCCAUGUCAUCAACUCGAGAGUUACUUUAUGCUUCUUCCCCGAAUUAACCAUCUGAUGCUCAAUCUUGUUAAAAAUCGGUCCUUAUAGAGUUUCCCCUCUCUCGUAAGUACCAUGAAGAUCCUGAAGAAAGGACGACAACUUCAUCAUGAAAUCAAGACAUCAACGAUAUGGAUCAACUUCUUCGAGACGAGCAGCCAAGAAUGACAAGAUCCGUUAGAGUUUCGUAACCACAACUCUUCCCCUUACACCACCUCUUAAAUCUCGGGACGAGAAUUCUUGUAGUGGAGGAGAAUUGUGAUGCCCGGAUAAUUAAGCUACAGUGACCCUUUACUAAUGUUGCCACGUCACCACGAUUACUAUUGAUAAUCUCGCGAUGAUUCAAAACCCGUUCAAAUUUCAAAUCUAAAUAAUAAGUCAAAUUAUAAAUUCAUCAAACUGAGAUUUAAAAAUGUUCAAAAGGUAGUAGAUAUUCACUAAAUAAUUAUAGAGCAUCAAUCAUCAUAUUGUAAAUAACUAUCUGCCUCUAGUUUAAUUAAAACGGGAACCAACUGUAAUUAAAUUAACCAUUUACGAUUGAACAAAUAUUUAUACAAUUCAAAAAUAUUUGAACCCUUUUUUUGCAACCUAAUAAUAUUGCUUAGCAUUUAAAUCUGAAGUUUCAUACUAGACAAAACUCGUUUGGUAGCAAAAUAGUAUAAACAGUAGCUAAGUGUAUAACAACAAAAAAAGAAGAUUAAAAUUGAAGUUGCCCUGUGCAAUUUGGCCCACUAUGAUCAAAAGCUAGCCAGCCUACUAUGCCUUAUGGGCACUACACACACA
rnacentral:lncRNA from 1 species